rnacentral:rRNA from 1 species
UACGUAGGGUGCAAGCGUUAAUCGGAAUUACUGGGCGUAAAGCGUGCGCAGGCGGUCCGUUAAGACAGAUGUGAAAUCCCCGGGCUCAACCUGGGAACUGCAUUUGUGACUGCAUGGCUAGAGUACGGCAGAGGGGGAUGGAAUUCCGCGUGUAGCAGUGAAAUGCGUAGAUAUGCGGAGGAACACCGAUGGCGAAGGCAAUCCCCUGGGCCUGUACUGACGCUCAUGCACGAAAGCGUGGGGAGCAAACAGG